GCUCCAAGUCAUCGAAGGACAUGAGCCGGAAGGAGUACGAGGACGUAUCUGUUUCUAUGACAACCUGCAGUGUAUCCAAAGGAUGGGAGAUGCCUGGGAACGCUGGCAGUGUCACGGAGCCCACAAGCACAGCAGCACCAGGCACUCAACCUGCUCAUCAUCCACACCAGGCUGGCUGAGCCACAGGAGGAAGACACAAAGAUCUGCUGGGACCGCCUGCGGGCUGCUCCAAAGCCAAGCACAGGUGAUGGGGUUUCAGCUCCCUGCCCCCCCUCCCCAUGAGCUCAGACCUGCUGCUAAGGCCCAGGCAGGAGCCCCACUUAAAGCUGGAAUGCUUCAUUCUGACAAUGCUUUAAUGAGCAAAAUGAAGAUUGGAUGCCAUUAGGGACCACAGCCCCGCACUGGGCUGAGAUGUCCCAUUGAGGGCAUCCCACUCUUCUUCCUGCUCCAUCCCUGCUGCAUUGCUGCCCUGCUCUAAGAGGAUUAGUGGGGUUUAACACACUCUCUGGCUAAAUUUGGACUCGCCUGGGUUAAGCCAGCUGCAGUUUAUCACCUUGUCCCCACCGAGCAGGAGCAGCUGCGAUGGCCAGAGCUGCAGCCAUGCUUGUCCCCAGCCCUAUGUGUGCCAUGGGGGUCCCACUCACCACGCUGGGCUCUCGCACCGUGAUGUCCCUCACCUCCAGGAAGCUGAAGCUGCUGUGCACCUGUGGGAGGGGAGCAUUGGAGCAGCACAACCUGGAUGGAUGGGACCCAUCCUCUGCCCCACGCCAGCCCCCCAUUACCCCCAUCCCACCCCAUAUUGCAGCCCGGGGGCUCUCCUAACCGAGCCCAGAACUCACCCUGACCGGCAGCACAGCCAGCAGCACAUAGGCUCGCCAAGGUGUCAGCACCUAGAAAGGGGGAGAUCGGUGUGAUGGGAGUGGGCUGGACACUGAAUGCUAUUAAUGCAUUCUGCAGUAGGGCCAUGGCAGAGUGGGGUGCCGUGCUGGGUCCCCCCAGGUGGAUUUUGCUGUUCCAGGCUUAAUGCAGAGGGACAUUGCACACCUACCAAAAUGAAGUCAUCGUACUUGGAUUUCACUGGCAGCUGCACGCUCUUGAGCAGGAGGAUCUGCUUUGCCCCCAGGGAGGCGGUGAUGCCCUCUGUAAGGAUCAGUAUUGGGGUCACUCAUAUGGCUGAGCCCUGCAUGCCCAUAGGAAUCCUUUCCCCCUCCCAUGUCAGGAGGCAGCCCUGAGGGCGCACACACCAUUGGCAUCCAGCUCCUCCAACCCACAGCACCAACCCCACUGCAUCCUUCCAGAGGGGCCAUAACCCCAAGAAACCACCCCGAUCAGCACCAUACUGUCCUACACUGAUCCUGCCCAGCCCUCCCUAUGGGACACCCAGGAUUGAGAUCUGCCCAUGCAUUCCUUUGGAAUCCCCCUUGAUCACGAGGUGCAUGAGCCGCCACACGUGCUGACCCCGUUGUGUUUGCAAUCUUCACCUCCAUUGCUCAGAGGAGGAUGGCAGCACUGCAAGCUCCUCCACCUGCCCCAUGCAAAGCAGCCGGAGCUGCGGUGGUGACGCUGAGCCCUGCUGCUGGCAGAGCUCCUGCACCCAGAGCUCCUCUGUCAAAGCUCUCGCUUGGAUUUCUGCAUCCCUGCGCUGCAUGGUUUCACUCAGCCCCAUCUCUGCACACCCAGCCUGUCGGGGUGGGUUUCUAUUUGUGUGCAGUUUCAGUUGGUACCCAAGGAGGUUGAGAGCAGAGCAUACAGGCCCCCAUUGCACCAUCCCUUCUGCAGCCUGCAUAGCCCACCACCAGCAAACCCCAAUGGUCAGCAGGAGCUGCACAGAAACAUCCUUGAGGCUCCAGCCUGGCUUUUAGGGGAUACUUUUGGCCUCAGCAGCAUCCUCAACAAGUGGGCUUGGUGAGCAAACCUGCUCAGAGCUCCCUAAGGUGCUAAGGCCACGAGGAGCUCAGAGCAGCUCUGCCAGCCCCAGAGUAGCCACGGCCUCGAGGAGACCCUGCACCACCAGGCACCCACACAGCACAGCUCUGCUUACCUUGCAGCUCGGCGGGGAUCCCCCCGGGGGACACGGCCAUGGUGGGCUCACAGCGGGGUCAGGGCAGCAUCCUCCAGCACAGCAUCCUCCAGCACAGCCCUGCUGUGUGCCGGGAGGAAGCACUGAGGUUACCAACCGGCAGCACCUCCUCCCCCUCGCUGCACUCGGUGCCUCUUCCUGCCCCGUCAGGCAAGAUUUACCCAGCCAGCAAGAGAUGAGAGAUGAGAGUGACGGAGCCUGCAGCCCACGCAGCACCCGCGAGACCCUGAGAGCAUCUUCGAGCUUUCCAAGGAGGCCAUGAGCAGCAUCUUCCAGCUCAGAGGCUCGUUGGUGUCCUCUUGUCCUACAGAGACUGGGUUUGGGAACAUAUUUCUGCUUUAGUGGAUGGCGAGAGUAAGAAGAGCUGCUCCCAACAUGGAGAAGUCACCCAGCUCCUUCUGCUGGUGUUGGGCACCUGGAGGGACUGUUGAUGUAGAUCAGUGCCCCAAAAAGCAGGACUGCGUCUUCAGAGCAAUGCAACAGGCGCUGUGCUUUCCAUACCCAGCCCAGGGUGCUCCUGUUUGGAUCUACAGCUAUUCCAGGACAGGCUUAUUGGCUCUCAGGAACUAAACUGUGAUCUGACUGCAGAUCCCCACAUCUCCCUUCUCAUCCUUCCUGAAGGCAGGCAGGGUCUUCCAGGUGUCACAAACCUCCUCAGGUCACCAGGUUUCAAAGCUGACAGACCACAGCCUCACAAUGGUUUCCUCAGCAGCCUCAGAUGUGCCCUUCAGGCUGCCAUUAGGUUUGGGCAGCAAGAUGGUAAGAGCAUCACUGAAUACCUUGAUCUCUGUUCCAUGUUUUCCAUGUCCUGCUCUGUUAAGCAGCAGUCUGGCCUCCUUAGCUGCAGCUCUUCCUGUUCCAGGUCUUAUGAGGAUGGGUAGAAGAGAUCAUUUGAUUUUCCCCCACAGAAGCAAGAGAAAGCCAUAGCUGACACUACUUACAACACCUCAGUCUGACACCCUCAGCUGUAACAUGGGGGGGAAAUCAGCCCCUUUGAACCUGGGAGCUCCCAACAGUUGAGAUCAGGUGCCCAAAGCAUGAGACCCAACUCAAGCUGAAUGUAAAACUAAGACACGGUUAGUGAGCACACACACACAGACACAGAAACCAGGUCAGCCAGCGAGGCAUGAGGUGAUGGGUGGGUGAAGGAGGCUGCUCACAGGUACUGCUCCCAUCCACACUACACCUGCUGUAUGGUCAACCCCAGAGCCAUCGAAUCAGUGAGCAGCCAGUCCAGCACCUUUCAAGUCUCCCCUUGGCUGCCCUCACUGCUGGCACCCAUCAGAGCUGUAAGGUAAGGAGCACACAGCCUACACAACCAGCACAGCUAUCUGCACGCUACCACCCGCAGCUGCCAGCACAUCAUGACUUCAUCCCACCAGCCUGCACUCAGGGCUGGGUGAGGGGGAGGAACAGCCACAACCAGAGCGGAGCCAGCAUCACAGCAGCAGCUGCUCCCAUUGUCCUGCAGCAUCCUGCCACGAGGGGCUGUGCAGCCCAAAGAAAGCAGGCAGCCAGCACACGCGUUAAUCCAUUAUUAUUUAUUAGCUGUACAGCAGUAUAUUUCUCCUUCCCAGCUUUCAAACCCCAUUACAUAUUUUAUAACAUUUUUUUUUUUCCUGUUUUUUAUGUUUUUCCCCAUGUUGGCUUCCUAAAAUAAUGAAAAAUAUCACACAGUACAGCUAAGUACAAAAAUGCAUCAACCUAGAGUCUGAUAGCUAAACUGAGAGCUCUCUUAAAAGCGAUACAUAGAAGAAAAAUCGGUUUGAAAUCAGCAAGACUGAGGCUCUAUAAAAAGCUUACAUAUUUCUUUUUAACCAUGUGACAGUUUCAUAUACAGGCAUCGUUUGUAUUUCACAUUAUUCCUUUUGUCUUUAUUAGAGAUCCCAAACUCGUGUGUAAUUACUGACCUGUUAGAAUUUCCUGGCCCAGGUUUUCGAGGGCUGCAAGUGACCCCGCUUCAAAAAAUAAUCACCACUUUUUCUUAACAAAGGAUUCAUCAACACAAAAUACAACUACAAAGAGCAAAGAAAACGUUGCCGUGAGGUUAUAACUCAAAAAGGAGGUUCCUUACGCGUUUCCAACGCUGGUUUUGUGUGCUUCAAAGCCAGCUUUCACCUGCAGGUUCCUGCUGUUCCACAAGUGAUAGCACUGAGGGGGGGGGGUUGCACUUCAAUGCGUGAUCGGUUACCAACAGCUUGUCCAACAUUUACAACUAUUGAUCCUCUUUAUCGCUUAGGAAAUCAAACAGCGGGGGUUGAUUUCAACUGUAUCUCUUUGCAUACCUCUUAAUUAAUGGAAAAAGAUUAAAAUGUAAAAAAAAAAAA